UCUGGAUCGAGAAAUUCAGCAU
rnacentral:miRNA from 1 species